CCAAGAUACAGCAAGAAUGAAAUUUUCUUGAGGUGUUGUAUUCAUGAAAUAUUUUCAAAAAAAUCUUGAAUUUCAAUAAGAAGAUCGUUUUCAUCCGAAAUACCUAUAUAAAUUUGAAACGAAGGGAGUCAAAUCAAACCAUCUGUGUAGGCAUUUAUUAUUUUUCGUUUCAUCCACAUAAUUUUUUCAAAAAAUGAUGAUUGACAUUUGUUGACAGUAUCAUUCUAUGUUUUCAUUGCAUGUUAUUUCAGAGGUUUUUAUAAAAUUUAAUUAUGAAUAAGCUGGCAGAAUACUUGACUUCAAAUUUGUAAUUUUUUCAUUUUUUCAAACACAAUUUGCUCCACAAAAUGAAAUAUAUAGGUACUUUCCUCAAGAUCCCAAAGAAAAUUUAAAUUGGAAAUAGGAUAACUUCAACAGGAAACAAAUUCAGUAAUACCAAGGAUGAAAUCCUGCCUUUUCUAGAGAUACAUGAUGGUCAGGCAAGGGUGAAGAGGCAACGUAAAAAAGGGAUCAUAUUCACCACAUUGUGAGAGCGGUAGUAGCAGAUCUAUAAAUAAGACAUUACUGAACCAUUCGAACAAUUAAUUUUAUCAUAAAUCGUCAAAUAUUACAAAAUUAUAUACCUAUCAAUAAUAUUUUGUAUCAA